ensembl:lncRNA
GGGAGGGGCGGGGCCCCCACCGCCUCCCAGGUCUCCCGUUAGUCCCCUGAGGCUCCGGGUCAGCGACCGUAGCCGGUGCUCAGCACAGGGAAGUCUCCUAAAUGUGAGCAGAAUUGGCAGGGAGUCGGGCUGACACGGGCCACCCUGCAACACUGCGUCCUCCAGGGUGGGGCCGCCCCCUUUGGCCUGGUACCCAGGGACCCAGGCUUCCUGCAGCCGAGCUGCCCACUGGCACCCACGUCUCCUUCUGGACAGGCUCCCUGACAUGGUCAGACGUUGGGGCAUGUCAAGGCCUCAGAAGUUCAAAGGCAGCCUGACCCUAUUUGGGCAAAAACACCAGCUGCUGGGACUACAUGGCCCCACAGCGAGCUGCCCAGAGCACAGCAGGAAGCUCAGCGACAGGGCAGCCGCCUCCAGCCAGAAAGCCCCCCCACCACCCCUCGACAUGGGCCAGAGCCCCUCUCACCACAGAGGACCCGGCCACCAAGCCCACCACCGGCCCCAGCGGUGUCUCAGGAGAGCCCAGUGCUGAGCCCAGGACAGGGAUGAGGGCCUCGGGGCCAGGUGGGAGGCCAGCAGGUGCCCUCAGGCAGACGCUGUGGGCAGAAGCCCCACGGGACUGGCAGAUAAGCCUCGCUGCUCCAGGGCAGGCCUGCACACAGCUCACAAGAGGAAGCUCGAGUCCACCCCGUUUGGAUGGUGCCCUCUGCUGGGCACAGCCAGGCUGAGCGCUGCCCCCACCCCAGUCCCUGGGGGAACCCGGGCAUCCAUCCCCUGCCAGGGGCUAGGUGGUCAGAACUGGAUUUUGAAAAUGAGACACACGGAAUUCUGCAGGAAGGGCAGCUUUGGCAGGAGGCUGGGGGGGCAGGG